GACGGACCGUACGAACGUUAUUCGGAAUUACUGGGCUUAAAGGGUGCGUAGGCGGCUCAGAAAGUUGAAUGUGAAAGCCCUCGGCUUAACCGAGGAAUUGCAUCCAAAACUACUGGGCUUGAGUGAGACAGAGGUGAGCGGAACUCACGGUGGAGCGGUGAAAUGCGUUGAUAUCUGGAGGAACACCGGUGGCGAAGGCGGCAUCCUGGACCGACACUGACGCUGAGGAGCGAAAGCCAGGGGAGCAAACGGG
rnacentral:rRNA from 1 species